UAUUUAAAAAAUAAACAAAACCCGAAAAAACCCACGCCAAACCCGAAAGACUUACCAGGUAAAUAGCCCAAGGCAAAUAACUGAAGCUCAAACAAGCGUGACUCAGCAGUCACUCUGAAUGUCUUCAUCAGCUGCUGCCAGCUACACCCAGACAAGGCAAACAGCGCCCGGAAAAGUGCAUUCUGUAAGUGUCUGUGUGUGACUCACAGCUGCCCUGCCCUCCUUAUAUGAAUAUCAAAGGGAUCCAGAA